UACGUAGGGGGCAAGCGUUGUCCGGAAUCAUUGGGCGUAAAGCGCGCGUAGGCGGCCCUGUAAGUCCGCUGUAAAAGUCAAAGGCUCAACCUUUGAAAGCCGGUGGAUACUGCAGGGCUAGAGUCCGGAAGAGGCGAGUGGAAUUCCUGGUGUAGCGGUGGAAUGCGCAGAUAUCAGGAGGAACACCAACGGCGAAAGCACUCUGCUGGGCCGACACUGACACUGAGAGACGAAAGCUAGGGGAGCGAAUGGG
rnacentral:rRNA from 1 species